GCGCAGUUGUCGCGGAAUCGGUCUUUCUUGCUUGAGCUGUGCAGGUACUCAGUCAUGUUGGCUAAAAGGAAAGAUGACGGACGAAAGAAAAAAAAAAUGCGAGCAAAUAACUCCCACUGACUUGUAAAUGUUAGUGCAAUCGAUUGUGCGAGUCAAAUGUUGAAUUUGGCUUGGCAAAGUUGAACAUGUUGACCACGUGGACUCGACGACGGAAAACGUGACACCACGGUGGGCGUCAGAUCGUGAAAUGCCGCCUUGGUUGACGUUUUUGUCUUCCAAAUGAUGGAAGUCAAGAGGUCACGUGUCCAGAUGAACAACGUUAUAUGAAAUCGUACGUUUUGGAGCAACCAGUCUUGGCUCGAAAAGGUAUUAAAACAUUUAUUUUCAUCUAUUGAUUGAUUUAUUAACCUGAUGUGAUGAAAUAACAACUGAAACAGCUGGAAUUACCGACAGAUGUUUAGUGGUGACUCAGUUUUCUGAACUUUGAAAUGAAACAAUGGAAUGUUGUGCACACUUGAUGUAGAUGCUGUGACGAUUUGAGUUUUUUUAUU